AUUGAACGCUGGCGGCAUGCCUUACACAUGCAAGUCGAACGGCAGCACGGGUGCUUGCACCUGGUGGCGAGUGGCGGACGGGUGAGUAAUACAUCGGAACGUACCUUAUCGUGGGGGAUAACGCAGCGAAAGCUGUGCUAAUACCGCAUACGCCCUGAGGGGGAAAGCGGGGGAUCGCAAGACCUCGCGCGAUUAGAGCGGCCGAUGCCUGAUUAGCUUGUUGGUGGGGUAAAAGCCCACCAAGGCGACGAUCAGUAGCUGGUCUGAGAGGACGAUCAGCCACACUGGGACUGAGACACGGCCCAGCCUCCAACGGGAGGCAGCAGUGGGGAAUUUUGGACAAUGGGGGCAACCCGGUUCCAGCAAUGCCGCGUGAGUGAAGAAGGCCUUCGGGUUGUAAAGCUCUUUUGUCAGGGAAGAAACACCGGCUCUAACACAGUCCGGGAAUGACGGUACCUGAAGAAUAAGCACCGGCUAACUACGUGCCAGCAGCCACCGUAA
rnacentral:rRNA from 1 species